rnacentral:rRNA from 1 species
CCUACGGGGGCUGCAGUGGGGAAUAUUUCACAAUGGGGGAAACCCUGAUGCAGCGACGCCGCGUGAGUGAAGAAGUAUUUCGGUAUGUAAAGCUCUAUCAGCAGGGAAGAAAAUGACGGUACCUGAUUAAGAAGCCCCGGCUAACUACGUGCCAGCAGCCGCGGUAAUACGGAGGGGGCAAGCGUUAUCCGGAUUUACUGGGGGUAAAGGGGGCGUAGACGGUGAUGCAAGUCAGAAGUGAAAUCCCGGGGCUCAACUCCGGGACUGCAUUUGAAACUGUGUGACUGGAGUGCAGGAGAGGUAGGCGGAAUUCCUGGUGUAGCGGUGAAAUGCGUAGAUAUCAGGAGGAACACCAGUGGCGAAGGCGGCUUACUAGACUGUAACUGACGUUGAGGCUCGAAAGCGUGGGGAGCAAACAGGAUUAGAUACCCUAGUAGUC